UCACUGAGAUGUUACAGGAACAGACUGAUGUCUGCUGUUCUUCGGGUUUGAAAAUAAACUUUUAUUCUGAAAGCAUCAGACGGAAGUGGAACCUCGACGAUCGUUCCGGUGUUGUUCAUCGUCAGAAUAUCGGAAGGGUUCUGUUUUUGAUCUGACGCCGGUUACCGGGAGCAGAUGUCCGCGCAGAUUUCAACAUACAGUAUGAGAUGUACAGUAUCGAGGGUAACGCUGAGAGGACGGCCUCCACCGGAAGACUCCUGUAUGACAUGUCAGUUUAGGAGAGUCGUUAUUGGAGGCGGAGACUGUAGAGAACCUGGACACUCCUGUCAACUGCUUCAGGAAGCUGUUUGUGUGUGAUGUUCUGCCGCUGAUUCUCAAUAAUCCAGAGCUAUGUCUCCCUGUCAGUCUGCUGUUUAAGUACAUACACAAAUCAGCAGAGUUUUAUAUAUGUUACGUCACGUGGGAGCCAUCAGCGGACUCACAGAUGCAGGGUAAAAGCACACUUUUUACUCUUAAUCUAUGCAGUUUUUGUGAAUUCUGCUGGCAAUAGGUCAUUUGGUGAUUUCAUGCUUAAUGAAAAUUACAUUAACAUUUACAUUUAUGCACAGCAUGCCAAGUAUACACACUGCAUACUGGAAAAAAUAAUGUGUUUUGUAGUGCACCGUUUUUCUUUUCUUUUUUUUUCUCCUUU